UACAGAGGGUGCGAGCGUUAAUCGGAAUUACUGGGCGUAAAGCGUGCGUAGACGGUAGCGUAAGUCAGAUGUGAAAGCCCCGGGCUCAACCUGGGAAUUGCAUUUGAGACUGCUCUGCUCGGGUGCGGAAGAGGGAAGCGGAAUUUCCGGUGUAGCGGUGAAAUGCGUAGAUAUCGGAAGGAACACCUGUGGCGAAAGCGGCUCACUGGACCAUUACUGACGCUGAUGCACGAAAGCUAGGGGAGCAAACAGG
rnacentral:rRNA from 1 species